rnacentral:tRNA from 1 species
UAUACUUUAGUAUGUGAUGUAUCUUAAUUUUUGAUAUUAAGGGGGAUGGUUUAAUUCUAUCAAGUAUAA